rnacentral:SRP_RNA from 1 species
AACUGGACUAGGUCGGGCAGUUAGGCCCUGCUCAUCACCCGCCAUAGAGUCUUUAGCGGGGACCAAACGCUGAAGGCGUCCAGUCAGACCGACUCGGGCCCCAACAGCCAACGUAGAAACCUCGUCCGACGGGGACAGCGGUUCAGCGUCCUCGCUCGCAGGAGCGAUCGAUGCUGUCUCGUCGGCGAUACCGGGUCAGGCACGGAAGUGAGCAGCCCAUCGCCGGACGUGCGUCGCUCGUUGGGUCGCGGGGUGGAGGAGGCAACUGGGAUUCCCCGUGUCCGGAACGCUGGGCAAUUUCAGCCCGUCCACAU